rnacentral:rRNA from 1 species
AGUAAUAUAUCGGAACGUGCCCUGGAGUGGGGGAUAACGUAGCGAAAGUUACGCUAAUACCGCAUACGAUCUACGGAUGAAAUGGGGGAUCGCAAGACCUCAUGCUCGUGGAGCGGCCGAUAUCUGAUUAGCUAGUUGGUAGGGUAAAAGCCUACCAAGGCAUCGAUCAGUAGCUGGUUUGAGAGAACGACCAGCCACACUGGGACUGAGACACGGCCCAG